rnacentral:ribozyme from 13 species
UUUCUUUUUUUUUGUUGUUGUUUUACAGUUUUUUUUGUUAUUGUUUGAUAAUUAAAAUGGAAGAAGAAGAAGACCAGCAAGUUGAUAUUUACGGACUCCCUUCCCUUCCAAUCGAAAAGCAACUGGGUCCUUAUGUCAUCAAACUUUCUCAUAUCUCAAAACAAUACCAAUUAGCAGGAAGGGGAGAUGAAGAAGCUGUUGUUGCUCUCCAUGAUGUCCACAUGGAUGAAGAAACAGACAUUUAUCCCAUCAGAAGAGGUGAAU